GUUGAUCCUGCGGGAGAUUGCUGCUAUUAAGGUUCGACUAAGCCAUGCAUGUCAGGUAGCAAUACCGGCAAACCGCUCAGUAACACGUCGAUAAUCUGACCUUAGAUUCGGUAUAACCUUGGAAAACUGAGACUAAUCCCGAAUAGAGUAAAAAAACUGGAAUGUUUUUUACUUUAAAGCUUCGGCGUCUAAGGAUGAGUCGGCGGCGGAUUAGGUUGUUGGUGGGGUAAUGGCCCACCAAGCCGAAGAUCCGUAGGGGCUUUGAAAGAAGUAGCCUCGAGAAGGGCACUGAGAUACUGGCCCUAGCCCUACGGGGUGCAGCAGGCGCGGAACCUUUACAAUGGGCGAAAGUCUGAUAAGGGGACCUUAAGUGCUAAUGUUUUACAUUGGCUUUUUUUAAGAGUAAAUAUCUUGGAGAAUAAGUGGUGGGUAAGACUGGUGCCAGCAGCCGCGGUAACACCAGCGCCACGAGUGGCAAUCAUUUUUAUUGGGCCUAAAGCGUCCGUAGCCGGUUUAGUAAAUCUUUUGUGAAAUCGUUGGGCUUAACUUAACGACGUGCAGAAGAGACUGCUAGACUAGGAACCGGGAAGAGUCAGAAGUAUUUUGGGGGGAGCGGUAAAAUGCUAUAAUCCUCGAAAGACUACCAGUGGUGAAGACGUCUGACUAGCACGGAUUCGACGGUGAGGGACGAAAGCCAGGGGAGCAAACCGGAUUAGAUACCCGAGUAGUCCUGGCCCUAAACUCUGCGAGCUAGGUGUUGCAUAUUCUCCGUGAAUAUGCAGUAUCGGAGCGAAGGCGUUAAGCUCGCCGCCUGGGAAGUAUGGUCGCAAGACUGAAACUUAAAGGAAUUGGCGGGGGAGCACAACAAGGGGUGCGGCGUGCGGUUUAAUCUAAUUCAACGCAGAGAAUCUCACCAGGAGCGACGGCAGGAUGAAAGUCAGAUUAACGGUCUUACUUGACGAGCCGAGAGGUAGUGCAUGGCCGUCGUCAGCUCGUGCCAUAAGGUGUCCUGUUAAGUCAGGCAACGAGCGAGACCUGUAUCUACAAUUGCUAACGGCUAAUCUUUUAGACGAGCACAUUGUAGAGACUGCCUUGGAAACAAGGAGGAAGGUGCAGGCUACGAUAGGUCUGUAUGCUCCGAAUCUUCUGGGCUACACGCGCGCAACAACGGUACGGACAAUGGGCUACAACUCCGAAAGGAGAAGUCAAUCCUCGAAACCGUAUCUAAGUACAGAUUGAGGUUUGUAACUCAGCCUCAUGACGCUGGAAUCCCUAGUAAUCGGAUUUUAUCAUAAUCCGGUGAAUAUGUCCCUGCUCCUUGCACACACCGCCCGUCAAAUCAACCGAGCAGGGUUUAGAUGAGAUCUGGUUUUUUGACCAGUGCGAAUCUAAGCUCAGUGAGGUGGAUUAAGUCGUCACAAGGUA
rnacentral:rRNA from 1 species